ACCCAGUCUGAAGAACCAUGCAUGAUCAUUUAUGCUGAAAAGAAAAGAAAUUAGAAGCUUUUGUUGCACAGAAUGGUGGAUAAAGAUUGCGAAUUUUGAUGACUGCACAAUAACGAGGAUUCAGAUACAACGUGGUCGCCACCUGACGCCCACCUCCACAAAAAGCCAUUCUCAAAAGGAGAGAGACAUUCAUAUCCAGAAGAGGGAGUCGGCUGUAGGGUAGAGAUGUUCGUCUGAAGAUUUCAAAGCCUGCUGUCAAAAGACAUGACACUCCUGGCACUUCAAAUGCAUCAAAGGUCCAGAGAGAAGCUUCUUCUGGUCACCUUGAUCUUGUGAUGCAAGGCAGGUGGGAGCAAGGGCUCCACCUGAAAUAUCAGAGAUGCUUACGUAGAAUUUGGAAAACUUUAAUUUUCACCAAAUACUCAUGUGCUUUGGGCUUACAGCAUAUGAAUUUUGGCAGAAGAGAAGUGAACCAGAAUAGAAGGAGGAGGGGAUAUUUAAUAAGAGAUUACAAAAAUGCUUUCUCUGGGUAAGAGAUGUGGUGAUCGUUCAAUGCAGAGCAGCUGAGGAAGACUUCUGUGUCCAGUGGUGCCACAGGCUGGGUCUUGGACCGACCGUCCCCUUGAAAACAACCGAACAUGUUGGAUAGAACAUGAGAUUACAGAAGGUUACAGGAUAUCAAUGGAGGACUGAGAGGAC
rnacentral:lncRNA from 10 species